GCCAGCAUGGCAUAGUGGUUUGAGUGUUGGACUACAACUCUGGAGACCAGGGUUCGAUUCCCCACCUUGGCC